AUGCGGGACGGCUUCCCACCUUACAGCUUCCCACCUUACAGCUUCCCACCUUACAGCUUCCCACCUUACAGCUUCCCGUCCCACCUUACAGCCCAGGGAGCCACCAAACGACUUGCCCCAGGGGCUGCAAUGUGUCCCCAGGGAAGGUGGCUUCAGGGACAGAGAGGGCACAGCUUUGCCCGUUGCUUCCGUCCCCCCCGGGGGCCCCUUGGGGACAGAUGUGUGACUGCACGGUCACAGCUCCAGCACCCCUGGGUCUGCACCCCCCAUUCCAGCAUGCCUCUCUGGGAGCAGGCGCCAGGGAUGAGGUGGGGAUCGGGUACGAGCGGGUGGGCUGCUGCCCUCAGCAAUCCCACAGAGCCAGGUGAGCGCGUCUGGCCCUGGAUCCUGCCCUCCCGCCCCUCUCUGGUGGGGCCCGAAAGGGCAGGUUGUAGGGUUUGGGGGUCCCAGUGGCACUGCUGGGAACACCAAGUGGUGCCAGCCUCCUGGGCCUCGGUGCUCGGCCACCAGGCUGUCCCCGUGCACCCGCGUGUCCCCCAGCCCUCGGGACACCGAGCGAGGACAGCAGCGGGCAGGGUGCCCCUCUGUCCCCAGGGUGGCAGCGGGAUGCUCUGGGUGCCAGCAGCGCCCGGGCUUUGUGCCCGGGGCUUUGCCGCUGUCACCGGCUGGUCUGCAUCGGGCUGGCAAUAUCGUGCUCGUGUUCGCUGGUGCUCCGAGCACGUCCGCCUCCAGCGUGGGCACCCUGCUGGGGUUCCUGCAGCAGCCUGCGGGCAGCCGGAGGGGCAGGGAUGGUGCUUUCUGUGCCCUGUGCCCAUGUGCCGUGCCCCGUGCCCGUGCCCUGUGCCCAUGUCCCGUGCCUCUGCCUGGUUCCCAUGCCCCCUUCCAAUCCCCAUGCCCUGUCCCCAUGUUCCUGGCGGUGCCCAUUCCCACACUGGUGUCCAUGCCCCAUCCCCAUCCCAUCCCCAUGGUUGCUUGCCAGCCACCAGUUAUCCCAGUGGCGACCAGCAGAGGGGACUGGUGAUCCACAGCAGCCUCCAGAGCCCUCCACNGCAGAGGGGACUGGUGAUCCACAGCAGCCUCCAGAGCCCUCCACCAGCCCCGGCCGGGCUGCGGUAG
rnacentral:lncRNA from 1 species